rnacentral:misc_RNA from 1 species
AGGCUCUCGCAACGAUGAAGAACGCAGCGAAAUGCGAUAAGUAAUGUGAAUUGCAGAAUUCCGUGAAUCAUCAAAUCUUUGAACGCACCUUGCACUCAGUCUUUGGCUGAGUAUGUCUGUUUGAGAAUCAGUUUAAUCUUCACACUGGGUGUUUGGGAUGCCUCGGCAACCCGGGCUGCCUGGGGUGGACUUGGGACUUCUCGGCUAAACCCGGGAGACCUUAAUUCGAUUUGUCGCCUUGAUUUUUCACUACCCUACCGGAAGGCAUGAUUAUUGCUGCAAGGCUCCUUGUGCUGCUACGGAAGGUAAUAGUGGACUAUCGCCGGGUGCAAAAUUAACCACAAAGUCGAGAGACUUUAAGACUUGAUCUCAAAUCAGACAAGACUACCCGCUGA